rnacentral:rRNA from 1 species
AGCGAACGUUAGCGGCGGGCUUAACACAUGCAAGUCGAGCGAGAAAGUGGCUUCGGCCAUCAGUAAAGCGGCGGACGGGUGAGUAACACGUAGGUAAUCUUCCCUUGAGCGGGGGACAACAGGCCGAAAGGCCUGCUAAUACCGCAUACGUUUCUUGGGUCUCUGGACCUGGGAAGGAAAGCUAGGCCGCAAGGUCCGGCACUCGAGGAGGAGCCUGCGUCGCAUCAGCUAGUUGGUGGGGUAAUGGCCUACCAAGGCGAAGACGCGUAGCUGGUCUGAGAGGAUGAUCAGCCACACUGGGACUGAGACACGGCCCAGACUCCUACGGGAGGCAG